GGAGAGAGGAAGGUCACGCGUGGGAGAAGAGGAGAGAAACCAGAACCUUGCUCUUCAAUUUCAUCUUUUCUUCAAGCCUAAGGACAAAGAUGGUCGUGAAGAUAAUGGCGAUGACACAUUCUUGGGAGUUGAUGCUACAUGACGUGCCAAUACCGGAGGACGACUACACUUCAGAGGAAGAGGAAGAGGCUAAGGAAUAGGGUUUGGGUUGAGAGUCUUUUGUUUUCUGUUGGGGUUGAGAGUUUCCGAAGUGUUGGUAUCGAACAAUUUUAUUGCUUAAAUUCGAAUGAACAAGUUUUGAUGUAAUCUUUAUUUUCAUUCAGGCCUUUGAUUCGUACUCUUUACAA